AGAUAAUGCUUUGUAUUGCAUCAAUAUUGUAAGGGCAUCUUAUGAAACAACUUGGAGAUGGAAUCCUAUAACCAGAAAAUAAGCAAGCAAACAAUUAGAAAGGGCCUGAGGAAGAGAAGGAGGAAGCGUUAUGGAAAAUCCAAUGCCCAUGCACAGGAAAAGAUGUGAACUUCAUAUGAUGGUACAGAAUAUGCAUUGUUUAUCCACAACACUGUUAAGAACAACAAUCAAAACUACAAUGCAGUUAUUUUGGCCAUUUUA
rnacentral:misc_RNA from 1 species